rnacentral:lncRNA from 1 species
CCGGCUCAGCUGCUGAGGGUCACUGUAAGCCCGAGCAGCUCCUCAUUGCCUCCUUAGUCAGCUGCCCCCGGCCGGAACGACAAGGCCCACCGCGAGGGGAGCGGAACGGCCCGGGCCUGCCGGGCCCCGCAGCCGUGACCGCUGCGGAGACACCACGGAGGAGAGCUAAGCUAAUAGGAGUGCUCGCUCCGCGGGGGUGCAGCUUAUUUUGUGCUGAGGAAUCCAAGCCAUCUGAUUUUCAGGCCCAUAUUUCAUUACCUCCUGUAAGGGAACAGAAAAACUAAGCAUAAGAAGACCUCACUGCGAAGCUUCUAC